rnacentral:rRNA from 1 species
UACGUAGGUGGCAAGCGUUGUCCGGAUUUACUGGGCGUAAAGAGCGCGCAGGCGGUCGUUCAAGUCGCGUGUGAAAGCCCCCGGCUCAACUGGGGAGGGUCACGCGAUACUGAUCGACUCGAAGGCAGGAGAGGGAAGUGGGAAUUCCCGGUGUAGUGGUGAAAUGCGUAGAUAUCGGGAGGAACACCAGUGGCGAAGGCGACUUCCUGGCCUGUUCUUGACGCUGAGGC